CCAAAAUCAGAUGAAAGUCUAAAACAAGUCAUAGUGCCUAGCUCCAGAAUGUUCUGGAAGGUUCUCUGAGACUGUCUCUCUAAAAGGUUGGGGUGGGGAAGAGCCCCCAUAGGCCCAAGAAAGUGUCAGAUUCCCCCUUUUCAGUCAACAGGAAUGGAAGAGGCUUUAAGAAAAACCAAGUAUUAUUAUUUGUUUGUUUUUACUGUGACUCAGUCUGUAGUAACUGGGUUAAAGUCCACUUUGAGACUAGGAGAACAAAAGACCUCCUGUUAGUGCUGGAAGUUUGCCUCUUAAGAUAUCCCUGAGGGGAACUGGGAAGAGAAAAAAAAAAAAAAAGGAGAGCCAGCAGCAGGACAGAGGAAGCUGUGGGCCUUCAGGAACACAGCCGAACUCUGGAAAGGAAAACACACUGCCUUUCAUCUCUAGGCCUAUCUGCACUGGCCGCUCCCUUUGCCGCUGUUUUAUGGCUCACUGCAGGACACAGGCCAGUGCCCGAUUCCCACACUCCUCUAACACGCUGAAACUGCCAGGGGUUAUAGCAAAAUAGACAAAUGUCCACAGCUAACCAGACCUAGGUUCAAGAGGAGGGGGAAGAAGGGAAGGGAAAAGAAGGAGAGUUGGAGGGAGAAGAAGGGGAUGACCCCACCCUACAGAACUCAUUACAUGUUGGGUGCUGUUCUGAGAGUACCCAUGGCAACCCAUUGUCUCGACACCCAAGAGGAGUCUAAUGAGCUAAUUCCCGGGGCCCAGAGGAAGAGGCAAGCUGGACCACUCUAUUGGAGAAAUCUAUUCCCUUUAGUACUGUGGAGGAGUCACAUGGCCAGUAGACUGAAUCUUUCAGGCUACACACUAAAGCCAUCUGACUCCAGCACUGGAGGACUUUAUCCUUCUCUUUUCAAGUAGAAAGAGAAUAUUGAGGAAAGACAAGGCAAGAGUUCUCGUCCCAACCCUGCCUGUGACCUUUCUCCAUCACCCUAUGGAGAUGUCCCACCUCCCAGAUGGUCCCUGGCAUGCAGAAGACACUUGAGUGGAGUAAAAGAGGCUGACCCUUCCCCUUUCCACCCCUAGCCAGGGGACCAGACAAGGGGUUAGAGUGCCCUGGAGCAGGCUCUGGUGGUGGGCAGCAGGAGGAAGAAGUUGGUAUAUUCACAUCCACAAAAGCCAGAAGGAUCUGUAUGAGGCUCAGACCCUGUCACGAAUGCCAAAGAACAGGCCAAAUAAAUAAAAAGAUCAUGGCAGUCGAGGCCGCAGGAACUGCUGUGAGUGGCUGACCUACACGUUUUGAAAAAAAGUCUUCAUGAUGCUCUGUGCAACUUGGAACAGAAAGCAGCCGAAGCUGUCAGGGAGCCGGUGUUCUCCGUCAAGGGUGAGCUGGAGCAGGCUGACCCGGGAACGGGCAGUCACAGCUGAGUGCAUCGGCUUGCGUGGGAAGGCCAGCUGGCUCAAUGGGGCCCAGGAGACAGUCUGACGAGGGAAGAAUUCCUGUGUUUGGAAUUGGGCUUGAAAAGUCCCCUGUUUGUAGCACUCGACUCACAGAAGAGCAGAAAGAAUUUCCAGCUGUCAUCAGGGCACAGAAAGUCUUCCUGACUCUGUCUGGGGCGCUCUCUCUCUCUCUCUCUCUCUCUCU